rnacentral:rRNA from 1 species
CCUACGGGAGGCAGCAGUGGGGGAUAUUGCGCAAUGGGGGGAACCCUGAUGCAGCGACGCCGCGUGGGUGAAGAAGCGCCUCGGCUCGUAAACCCCUGUCAGCAGGGAAGAAAAUGACGUUAGCUAAAGAAGAAGCCCCGGCUAACUACGUGCCAGCAGCCGCGGUAAUACGUAGGGGGCGAGCGUUAUGCGGAUGUACUGGGGGUAAAGGGGGCCGAGACGGCUAGGCAAGACAGGAGUGAAAGCCCGGGGCCCAACCCCGGGACUGCUCUUGGAACUGGCUGGCUGGAGUGCAGGAGGGGCUGGCGGAAUUCCUGGUGUAGCGGUGAAAUGCGUAGAUAUCAGGAGGAACACCGGUGGCGAAGGCGACUUGCUGGCAUGCAACUGACGUUGAGGAGCGAAAGCGUGGGGAGCAAACAGGAUUAGAUACCCUUGUAGUC